rnacentral:lncRNA from 1 species
GAAUAACUCCCGAGCGACAUCGCACGACCCUUCUCCAGGUGUUUCUCCUCCUUGAUGACCACUACGGUAAGUUUCUCUUCUCCUCUUUCAUAUUAUCCUUGCCUUAAUUUCCCCCAACAAUGACAUAGUUAGCCCAUUUAGCUCCAAAAAGACAUAAUUAGCCCAUUUAGCUCCAAAAAGACAUAGUUAGCUAAUUUAGCUCCAAGAAGAGGAGAAGAGGAGAAGAAAUAGGAAAAAUGAAAAGAAAGAAGAAGAAAAAGAAGAGAAGAAGGAGAAGGAGGAGGAGGAGGAGAAGGAGGAGAAGGCCAAGGACCUUCUAGUCCUUCUCCUCCUCCUCCUUCUCCUCCUUCUUCUUGAUUUCUUCUUCUUCUCCUCCUCCUCCUCUUUCUUCUCCUCUUUCAUAUUAUCCUUGCUUUAAUUUCCCCAAAAAUACAUAAUUAGCCCAUUUAGCUCCAAAAUGCCAUAAUAACCUCAAAAUGGCAUAAGAACCUUGGUUAGCUCAUGAAUAUUAUAUACUUAGCUUGUUUUCCUCUAAAUUGUGAAAAUUAGCCCAUUUAGCUCCAAAAAGACAUAGUUAGCUAAUUUAGCUACAAGAAGAGGAGAAUAGGAGAAGAGGAGUAGAAAUAAGAAAAAUUAAAAGAAAGAAGAAGAAGAAGAGGAGGAGGAGGAGAAGGAGAAGGAGGAGGAGGAGGAGAAGGAGGAGAAGGCCAAGGACCUUCUAGUCCUUCUCGUCCUCCUUCUCCUCCUUCUCCUCCUUCUUGAUUUAUUCUUCUCCUCCUCCUCCUCUUUCUUCUCCUCUUUCAUAUUAUCUUUGCUUUAAUUUCCCCAAAAAGACAUAAUUAGCCCAUUUUAGCUCCAAAAUGCCAUAAUAACCUCAAAAUGGCAUAAGAACCUUGGUUAGCUCAUGAAUAUUAUAUACUUAGCUUGUUUUCCUCUAAAAUGAGAUAAUUAGCCCAUUUAGCUCCAAAAAGACAUAGUUAGCUAAUUUAGCUACAAGAAGAGGAGAAGAAAUAGGAAAAAUGAAAAGCAAGAAGAAGAAGAAGAAGAAGGGAAGAAGGAGGAGGAGGAGGAGGAGAAGGAGGAGAAGGCCAAGGACCUUCUAGUCCUUCUACUCCUCCUCCUUCUCCUCCUUCUCCUACUUCUUCUCUUCUACUUCUUCUCCUCCUCCUCCUCUUUCUUCUCCUCUUUCAUAUUAUCCUUGCUUUAAUUUCCCCAACAAUGACAUAAUUAGCCCAUUUAGCUCCAAAAUGCCAUAAUAAGCUCAAAAUGGCAUAAGAACCUUGGUUAGCUCAUGUAUAUUAUAUACUUAGCUUGUUUUCCUCUAAAAUUAGAUAAUUAGCCAAUUUAGCUCCAAAAAGACAUAAUUAGGUAAUUUAGCUCCAAGAAGAGGAGAAGAGGAGAAGAGGAGAAGAAAUAGGAAAAAUGGAAAGAAAGAAGAAGAAGAAGAAGAGAAGAAGGAGAAGGAGGAGGAGGAGAAGGAGGAGAAGGCCAAGGACAUUCUAGUCCUUCUGCUCCUCCUCCUUAUCCUCCUUCUCCUCCUUUUUGAUUUCUUCUUCUUCUCCUCCUCCUCCUAUUUAUUCUCCUCUUUCAUAUUAUCUUUGCUUUAAUUUCCCCAAAAAGACAUAAUUAGCCCAUUUGGCUCCAAAAUGUCAUAAUAACCUCAAAAUGGCAUAAGAACCUUGGUUAGCUCAUGAAUAUUAUAUACUGAGCUUGUUUUCCUCUAAAAUGAGAUAUUUAGCCCAUUUAGCUCCAAAAAGACAUAGUUAGCUAAUUUAGCUCCAAGAAGAGGAGAAGAAAUAGGAAAAAUGAAAAGAAAGAAGAAGAAGAAGAAGAAUAAGAGAAGAAGGAGAAGGAGGAGGAGGAGGAGGAGGAGGAGGAGAAGGAGAAGGCCAAGGACCUUCUAGUCCUUCUCCUCCUCCUCCUUCUCCUCCUUCUCCUACUUCUUCUCUUCUACUUCUUCUCCUCCUCCUCCUCUUUCUUCUCCUCUUUCAUAUUAUCCUUGCUUUAAUUUCCCCAAAAAGACAUAACUAGCCCAUUUAGCUCCAAAAUGCCAUAAUAACCUCAAAAUGGCAUAAGAACCUUGGUUAGCUCAUGAAUAUUAUAUACUUAGCUUGUUUUCCUCUACAAUGAGAUGAUUAGCCCAUUUAGCUCCAAAAAGACAUAAUUAGGUAAUUUAGCUCCAACAAGAGGAGAAGAGGAGAAGAGGAGAAGAAAUAGGAAAAAUGGAAAGAAAGAAGAAGAAGAAGAAGAGAAGAAGGAGAAGGAGGAGGAGGAGAAGGAGGAGAAGGCCAAGGACAUUCUAGUCCUUCUGCUCCUCCUCCUUAUCCUCCUUCUCCUCCUUUUUGAUUUCUUCUUCUUCUCCUCCUCCUCCUAUUUAUUCUCCUCUUUCAUAUUAUCUUUGCUUUAAUUUCCCCAAAAAGACAUAAUUAGCCCAUUUGGCUCCAAAAUGUCAUAAUAACCUCAAAAUGGCAUAAGAACCUUGGUUAGCUCAUGAAUAUUAUAUACUGAGCUUGUUUUCCUCUAAAAUGAGAUAAUUAGCCCAUUCUUUUCCUCUAAAAUGGGAUAAUUAGCCCAUUUAGCUCCAAAAAGACAUAAUUAAGUAAUUUAGGUCCAACAAAAGGAGAAGAGGAGAAGAAAUAGGAAAAAUGAAAAGAAAGAAGAAGAAGAAGAAGAAUAAGAGAAGAAGGAGAAGGAGGAGGAGGAGGAGGAGGAGGAGGAGNNNNNNNNNNNNNNNNNNNNNNNNNNNNNNNNNNNNNNNNNNNNNNNNNNNNNNNNNNNNNNNNNNNNNNNNNNNNCCUUCUCCUCAUUCUUCUUGAUUUCUUCUUCUUCUCCUCCUCCUCCUCUUUCUUCUCCUCUUUCAUAUUAUCCUUGCUUUAAUUUCCCCAACAAUGACAUAAUUAGCCCAUUUAGCUCCAAAAUACCAUAAUAAGCUCAAAAUGGCAUAAGAACCUUGGUUAGCUCAUGUAUAUUAUAUACUUAGCUUGUUUUCCUCUAAAAUGGGAUAAUUAACCCAUUUAGCUCCAAAAAGACAUAAUUAGGUAAUUUAGCUCCAACAAGAGGAGAAGAGGAGAGGAAAUAGGAAAAAUGAAAAGAAAGAAGAAGAAGAAGAAGAAGAAGAGAAGAAGAAGGAGGAGGAGGAGGAGGAGAAGGCCAAGGACCUUCUAGUCCUUCUCCUUCUCCUCCUUCUCCUCCUUCUUCUUGAUUUCUUCUUCUUCUCCCCCCUCCUCUUUCUUCUCCUCUUUCAUAUUAUCCUUGCUUUAAUUUCCGCAACAAUGACAUAAUUAGCCUAUUUAGCUCCAAAAUACCAUAAUAAGCUCCAAAUGGCAUAAGAACCUUGGUUAGCUCAUGAAUAUUAUAUACUUAACUUGUUUUCCUCUAAAAUGGGAUAAUUAGCCCAUUUAGCUCCCAAAAGACAUAAUUAGGUAAUUUAGCUCCAACAAGAGGAGGAGAGGAGAAGAAAUAGGAAAAAUGAAAAGAAAGAAGAAGAAGAAGNNNNNNNNNNNNNNNNNNNNNNNNNNNNNNNNNNNNNNNNNNNNNNNNNNNNNNNNNNNNNNNNNNNNNNNNNNNNNNNNNNNNNNNNNNNNNNNNNNNNNNNNNNNNNNNNNNNNNNNNNNNNNNNNNNNNNNNNNNNNNNNNNNNNNNNCUUCUUGAUUUCUUCUUCUUCUUCUCCUCCUCCUCUUUCUUCUCCUCUUUCAUAUUAUCCUUGCUUUAAUUUCCCCAACAAUGACAUAAUUAGCCCAUUUAGCUCCAAAAUACCAUAAUAAGCUCAAAAUGGCAUAAGAACCUUGGUUAGCUCAUGAAUAUUAUAUACUUAGCUUAUUUUCCUCUAAAAUGGGAUAAUUAACCCAUUUAGCUCCAAAAACACAUAAUUAGGUAAUUUAGCUCCAACAAGAGGAGAAGAGGAGAAGAAAUAGGCAAAAUGAAAAGAAACAAGAAGAAGAAGAAGAAGAGAAGGAGGAGAAGGAGGAGGAGGAGGACAAGGCCAAGGACCUUCUAGUCCUUCUCCUCCUUCUCCUUCUUCUUGAUUUCUUCUUCUUCUCCUCCUCCUCCUCUUUCUUCUCCUCUAUCUUAUUCUCCUGACCUUAUUUUCCCCAACAAUGAGAUAAUUAGCCCAUUUAGCUACAAAAUGGCAUAAAAACCUUGGUUAUAUCAUGAAUAUUAUAUUCUUAAAUUGUUUUCCUCUAAAAUGACAUAAUUAGAAUAUUUGUGUUGAUCGAGUGGAUUUCUUAGCUUGUUUUCCUCUAAAAUGGUAUAAUUAGCCCAUAUAGAUCCCAAAAUACAUAAUUAGGUAAUUUAGCUCCAACAAGAGGAGAAGAGGAGAAUAAAUAGGAAAAAUGAAAAGAAAGAAAGAAAGAAGAAGAAGAAGAAGAGAAGAAGGAGAAGUAGGAGUAGGAGGAGGAGAAGGCCAAGGACCUUCUAGUCCUUCUCCUCCUCCUCCUCCUACUUCUCCUCCUUCUUUUUGAUUUCUUCUUCUUCUCCUCCUCCUCCUCUUUCUUCUCCUCUUUAAUAUUAUCCUUGCUUUAAUUUCCCCAACAAUGACAUAAUUAACCCAUUUAGCUCCAGAAUGCCAUAAUAAGCUAAAAAUGGCAUAAGAACCUUGGUUAGCUCAUGAAUAUUAUAUCCUUAGCUUGUUUUCCACUAAAAAUGACAUAAUUAGCUCAAAAACAUCAUAUUUUGUUCUUCUUCUGACUUUCUUAUUCACAUUUUUCCAGAUUGGAUAUACUACAUGCAUGGAAGCUGGCAUUCAAGGAGUUGAACAAUGUCGAUGGAUGAACUUUAUAUGUAUAUCAUCAAGUUUUCAUUUGAGUUGAUGAACAAUGUCAAACUAUAUGUAUAUGUAUAUGUGGAUAAACAGUGCAAUACUUUGUAUGUUGGUUCUUUCGAUAUCUGGGGAUGUACAUUGAUUUAUAUGUAUAUCAUAUAUGUAUGGUG